CUCAAUCCUACAAGUUGUUGACCGUCACACAUUUGCUGUUUGAUGAAUUGGGCUGAUAUCAAUUACACCUGGAUGAGCGAACCCAUUGAUCCAGGCACUUAUUUGAGAGAUCUGUAUCUUGGUAUUGGAUUUUUGGAAGCAAUCUUUGUUUAUUUUCUAGUAUACUUGAUCUGCUCAGCCGACAACAUCCGACGUAAAUCUUGAAUUAUUCAUGUGUUCGACUUUUGAGGCCAAACGAGUCUUGAGCCGCAUUUGUCUGUAGCCCAUUACUGAGAACAUUACCAACCAUUAGGAACGUGCAACUGAUUGUGUGUCUGCUGGAAUUGGCACGUGCCACUGUGCUCUGUAUGAGAGGGCCUCUCCAGGGUAAUUGUUUAUUUGAACACAGCUAGAUCUAAAUCCUCCUGUGGCUGUGUCUGUAGUGUUUAUAACUGUGGCAGUCUGUGCACUCAGCGGGUGACCUUUACAAAAUCCGCCUUCAAGCAGCCGCCAUCAUAGGAACAGUCAGAGGAACAGGGGGGGCGGUGUGCCGAUGCCUGCCCCCCCUCCUUUACUGCUCCUUCUAAAGAGAGAUGACACGUGUCUUCGUACGACAAAGAGCCGUAUUGAAAAGAACUUCAGCGAGCUGAUUUAUGUUUCAUUAAUGAGGGAUGUUUGUUUGCAGCACUGUUGAGAUUUUCUGGCCAUAGUUCUCAACUUGAUGAGUUUUUAGCCAUGUAAUCACUUUGGUCCAGACUGAAAUAUCUCAACAAAUGCUCAAUGGAUUCACUGUUCCCAGUCGAUGCAUCGUAAUAACCUUUGUGUUACCCCAACUUUUUAUCUAACGACAACUGGACUGAAGAAGCCUCAAUCACAGUCGAACCCAGCGGACCUACGCAGCUGUUCAGGAAUAAAUUCAUUUGAAUUUUAGUUACAGCUGUGUGGGAGAACUGUAUAUGACACCCGCUAUCGCUAUAUGAGCUAUGAGGACUUGCAGGGUUUAGAUUAAAGUGCUAUCCGUCCCUCCAACGAAGAGGCCUAAAAAUAAUGUAAUGUGUGAGUGCAGGGUAGGUGCUCUCUGUAAUGGCAGAAGACUGAGUGUACAUAAUGAGCAAUUUUCUCUGUGGUUCUCCGUCUAUCUCUGUACACAAUGUUGAGAUGUGGUCAAAACGUGUUGUGAAAGAGAGAGAUAUGGAUCUGGACGCACAGUGCAGAAGACGACGCAGACGAAACGCUGCUGUUUGUGCUGUGGUGUUAAUGCUCUCCCCCCCGGGGACAAUCACUCACCGUACGCACAGGCAGUAUGAUUACUCGCAUCACUUAUCAGCCCGAUGGAAACCUUGGGAAGCAUUACGCGGGCCAACCAAACCCAUCAAACUCAUGCCACGCAAAACAGAGUGCAGACUGUUUGAAGUGGGCUUCACAUGGAGGUCUUGCGUCAAGACAGAGUGAUGAGGACGGCGUUUGAUUUAGAAAUGAUCAACGGAAAAUAGGAACGCUCAAUCAUAAUAAAGAAUAUAUACAUAUAUGACACUUACAAAACAUCCUGCAUCGAUUGAGCUGCACUUGUUGCACUCACAGUCUCUUCACAUGUUAUGGCUUGUUUUCUGUGAUGUUUCUUUUGUCUGAAAUGAGCUGGUCUACUUUAUAACGAUUGAAAGGCCAGAGAAAGAAGCAAUCUACAUACGUUACAUUUCUUCAUGUCGCUCUGCACAGGCUGUCGAGUUAUGCCCGGGAAGGUUUCGAAUGGUUUGUUCUGCAGCUGACGAAGCCGAAGCACAGCGGAGGGCGGAGCCUCUGCUGGCUGUCACAUCGCAUCGCUAUCUAACAAUCACACGCCAAGCCACGUAUGGAACGAAAGUCUGACCCGCUCAGCCUUUAGGCCUGAACUUUUGGUUUCCUCUGACUCCUGGGUGAGCAUGAACUAUUAUUAGUGUGUGUAAACACACUCGAAUGGGAAGAAAAUGGGACUUUCUAUGAAAGUAUUUAAUUUUACUGUCACACGUUCAAAUUUGUUUUGGCUUCAUAGGUUUAAUCAACAGCUGUUUGAGGGCGAUCGUUUAAUGUUAUUCACCCUGGAUAUGAUUUAGAAAAGCUGAGAAAUUGACUAAACAUGUGUCACAGUGACCAUGAGAAACCAUUCAAUUAAACGUUACAGGCUGACACGACCUUUACCCUAUUGCCAGAGUGCGGGACAUCCAUAUUAUCCACAGGUCACAGUCUUCAUGAUUGCGCCACACGCGUCCUUGUCUGAUCAAUAUUUCUUGUAUUCCAGUGACUGAAUGACAAAAUAAAGCAGGGUGAAGAAGAAAGCGUCUGGAGCAGAACAAGGCAGAGGGGUUGUCGUCCUUCACACUAUUGAGUGGACGUGUAGGCAUCAACCUGCACCAUUUUAAACUCAGAGACUGUCAAAACAUAGUUAAAUAAAACCUGUGUGCAGACAGUGUCAAUAUAGCACAGCCAUUUACGGGAGUGGGGACAGAGGUAGCUUGCAUGGAGGUAGACAAAAAAAAACAAAGUUCCCUUCAUAAAACAUGACAGGCAAGCGUCAUUAAAUUGAGAAGUUGCAGAAACCCUGCUGUGUCGUCGUGCUGUGGAGGUGCAGGACAGAAAGAGACAUAACGUCGUCUGCAAAUCUGCCUCACGCCAAAUUAUUUAUACUCUCAAAGUAGUAAAACAAAUCAAAGAGGAAUAUUUUGAAGCAUCUUUAAGCUCAAGGAAUAUAUGGCAUGUAGUGUGUUUAGAUUAUGUGCAUUAAUCAUUAAUACACCGUUUUUACAAUGGCUGCCACAAGGAGUUUACAGUUGUUGUUAUUUGGUGGCUGAAUUCUUUUGGCUAAUUAUGUUAUUGCUGUCGUUACUACGGGCAGAUAUUUAAUUGGAGUUCUGUUCAUUUUAGCAGGAGACAAAUUAAAUAUUAAUAUCAAAUAUUAAUAUUACUAUUACUUGUACGUAACACAACAAUUUAGUAAAUCUUUGUGUAUUUUUAUUUUAGAAUAAAAGGUAUGAUUUUGCCCUCCUCCCCACUGUGAUCCUUUUCAUGCAGUCUCUUUUCUAACCAUAAAAUCCACCCAUUUCUGUCGGGAUCUUGUCCUUUUCUAACUCUUAUGUUUUCGUAAUUCUUAUUGUAUAGGGAAAUUGUUGGAUAGCGAGUGUAACAUUUUAAAUUGGCAACUGCAGAAAUGAGGUACUUAGGAUUUUAUGAGUCUGUAAGCUUUUGAGUUGUCGGCACAAGUGGGCAAUCACUUAAAGGAAAUUGGAACAUUGCUAUUUGUGUGGUUCUGCAGCUUCCGCAGAAAGGCUUUGGCUUAUUACUCACUUAUCAUGGACAAAAAGUGAUCUUCUUCUUCAUAACCACGACAAACCAAGGAAUGAGUUGCAAAUUAUAUCUUACAUAUAAAGCAUUCAUUUAGAGUUGGUUGAACGCUUGAAGGGAAAUUAAUUAGUCACACUCACAGUUCAUCACAUCAAACAUACCAAUGGCACGAGUUCCUCUGAUUGCAAAGCUACUGAGGCUUGCCAAAUCCAUUUAAUGCUGUUGUCUUUCUUGUAAUAACAAUGUAAUAAAUCGUUGCUUGUGUAAAG
ensembl:lncRNA